rnacentral:rRNA from 1 species
GGUUAAGCGACUAAGCGUACACGGUGGAUGCCCUGGCAGUCAGAGGCGAUGAAGGACGUGCUAAUCUGCGAUAAGCGUCGGUAAGGUGAUAUGAACCGUUAUAACCGGCGAUUUCCGAAUGGGGAAACCCAGUGUGUUUCGACACACUAUCAUUAACUGAAUCCAUAGGUUAAUGAGGCGAACCGGGGGAACUGAAACAUCUAAGUACCCCGAGGAAAAGAAAUCAACCGAGAUUCCCCCAGUAGCGGCGAGCGAACGGGGAGGAGCCCAGAGCCUGAAUCAGUGUGUGUGUUAGUGGAAGCGUCUGGAAAGGCGCGCGAUACAGGGUGACAGCCCCGUACACAAAAAUGCACAUAUUGUGAGCUCGAUGAGUAGGGCGGGACACGUGGUAUCCUGUCUGAAUAUGGGGGGACCAUCCUCCAAGGCUAAAUACUCCUGACUGACCGAUAGUGAACCAGUACCGUGAGGGAAAGGCGAAAAGAACCCCGGCGAGGGGAGUGAAAAAGAACCUGAAACCGUGUACGUACAAGCAGUGGGAGCACGCUUAGGCGUGUGACUGCGUACCUUUUGUAUAAUGGGUCAGCGACUUAUAUUCUGUAGCAAGGUUAACCGAAUAGGGGAGCCGAAGGGAAACCGAGUCUUAACUGGGCGUUAAGUUGCAGGGUAUAGACCCGAAACCCGGUGAUCUAGCCAUGGGCAGGUUGAAGGUUGGGUAACACUAACUGGAGGACCGAACCGACUAAUGUUGAAAAAUUAGCGGAUGCCUUGUGGCUGGGGGUGAAAGGCCAAUCAAACCGGGAGAUAGCUGGUUCUCCCCGAAAGCUAUUUAGGUAGCGCCUCGUGAAUUCAUCUCCGGGGGUAGAGCACUGUUUCGGCAAGGGGGUCAUCCCGACUUACCAACCCGAUGCAAACUGCGAAUACCGGAGAAUGUUAUCACGGGAGACACACGGCGGGUGCUAACGUCCGUCGUGAAGAGGGAAACAACCCAGACCGCCAGCUAAGGUCCCAAAGUCAUGGUUAAGUGGGAAACGAUGUGGGAAGGCCCAGACAGCCAGGAUGUUGGCUUAGAAGCAGCCAUCAUUUAAAGAAAGCGUAAUAGCUCACUGGUCGAGUCGGCCUGCGCGGAAGAUGUAACGGGGCUAAACCAUGCACCGAAGCUGCGGCAGCGACGCUUAUGCGUUGUUGGGUAGGGGAGCGUUCUGUAAGCCUGUGAAGGUGUACUGUGAGGUAUGCUGGAGGUAUCAGAAGUGCGAAUGCUGACAUAAGUAACGAUAAAGCGGGUGAAAAGCCCGCUCGCCGGAAGACCAAGGGUUCCUGUCCAACGUUAAUCGGGGCAGGGUGAGUCGACCCCUAAGGCGAGGCCGAAAGGCGUAGUCGAUGGGAAACAGGUUAAUAUUCCUGUACUUGGUGUUACUGCGAAGGGGGGACGGAGAAGGCUAUGUUGGCCGGGCGACGGUUGUCCCGGUUUAAGCGUGUAGGCUGGUUUUCCAGGCAAAUCCGGAAAAUCAAGGCUGAGGCGUGAUGACGAGGCACUACGGUGCUGAAGCAACAAAUGCCCUGCUUCCAGGAAAAGCCUCUAAGCAUCAGGUAACAUCAAAUCGUACCCCAAACCGACACAGGUGGUCAGGUAGAGAAUACCAAGGCGCUUGAGAGAACUCGGGUGAAGGAACUAGGCAAAAUGGUGCCGUAACUUCGGGAGAAGGCACGCUGAUAUGUAGGUGAAGCGACUUGCUCGUGGAGCUGAAAUCAGUCGAAGAUACCAGCUGGCUGCAACUGUUUAUUAAAAACACAGCACUGUGCAAACACGAAAGUGGACGUAUACGGUGUGACGCCUGCCCGGUGCCGGAAGGUUAAUUGAUGGGGUCAGCGCAAGCGAAGCUCUUGAUCGAAGCCCCGGUAAACGGCGGCCGUAACUAUAACGGUCCUAAGGUAGCGAAAUUCCUUGUCGGGUAAGUUCCGACCUGCACGAAUGGCGUAAUGAUGGCCAGGCUGUCUCCACCCGAGACUCAGUGAAAUUGAACUCGCUGUGAAGAUGCAGUGUACCCGCGGCAAGACGGAAAGACCCCGUGAACCUUUACUAUAGCUUGACACUGAACAUUGAGCCUUGAUGUGUAGGAUAGGUGGGAGGCUUUGAAGUGUGGACGCCAGUCUGCAUGGAGCCGACCUUGAAAUACCACCCUUUAAUGUUUGAUGUUCUAACGUGGACCCGUGAUCCGGGUUGCGGACAGUGUCUGGUGGGUAGUUUGACUGGGGCGGUCUCCUCCUAAAGAGUAACGGAGGAGCACGAAGGUUGGCUAAUCCUGGUCGGACAUCAGGAGGUUAGUGCAAUGGCAUAAGCCAGCUUGACUGCGAGCGUGACGGCGCGAGCAGGUGCGAAAGCAGGUCAUAGUGAUCCGGUGGUUCUGAAUGGAAGGGCCAUCGCUCAACGGAUAAAAGGUACUCCGGGGAUAACAGGCUGAUACCGCCCAAGAGUUCAUAUCGACGGCGGUGUUUGGCACCUCGAUGUCGGCUCAUCACAUCCUGGGGCUGAAGUAGGUCCCAAGGGUAUGGCUGUUCGCCAUUUAAAGUGGUACGCGAGCUGGGUUUAGAACGUCGUGAGACAGUUCGGUCCCUAUCUGCCGUGGGCGCUGGAGAACUGAGGGGGGCUGCUCCUAGUACGAGAGGACCGGAGUGGACGCAUCACUGGUGUUCGGGUUGUCAUGCCAAUGGCACUGCCCGGUAGCUAAAUGCGGAAGAGAUAAGUGCUGAAAGCAUCUAAGCACGAAACUUGCCCCGAGAUGAGUUCUCCCUGACUCCUUGAGAGUCCUGAAGGAACGUUGAAGACGACGACGUUGAUAGGCCGGGUGUGUAAGCGCAGCGAUGCGUUGAGCUAACCGGUACUAAUGAACCGUGAGGCUUAACCUU